CCUACGGGUGGCAGCAGUGGGGAAUAUUGGGCAAUGGGCGCAAGCCUGACCCAGCAACGCCGCGUGAAGGAAGAAGGCUCUCGGGUUGUAAACUUCUUUUGUCAGGGAAGAGUAGAAGACGGUACCUGACGAAUAAGCCACGGCUAACUACGUGCCAGCAGCCGCGGUAAUACGUAGGUGGCAAGCGUUGUCCGGAUUUACUGGGUGUAAAGGGCGUGUAGCCGGGUUGACAAGUCAGAUGUGAAAGCCUGCGGCUUAACCGCAGAAUUGCAUUUGAAACUGUGGGCCUUGAGUACUGUAGAGGCAGACGGAAUUCGUGGUGUAGCGGUGAAAUGCGUAGAUAUUAGGAGGAACACCAGUGGCGAAGGCGGUCUGCUGGACAGCAACUGACGGUGAGGCGCGAAAGCGUGGGGAGCAAACAGGAUUAGAUACCCUUGUAGUC
rnacentral:rRNA from 1 species